CCUAGUUGGACUAUGGGAAGAAUCAUCUGAAUGCCAAGCAGGCCAUGCAGUGCCACCAGGCACUCUGUGAUGUGGUUGAGCCUGGUUGUUAAGGAGCUUUUAGCAUGUCUUUGAGCUGUCUCUCUGUCUCAGACUCACAGCAACACUGCAAAAGAUGAUACCUUAUCUGAUUGCUCAACUCUGUAGUCAAGAAGCACAGGAAAAGAAAAAAAGCUAAUAUGUUCCAUUCUCUCAGGCAAAAGUGGCCAAGCAACAUCAAAAUUGGAGGAAGACACAAGCCUGAGGGGCUGAGACAGGUGUCAAGAGGACGGUGCCAGACCCUUUUCAUUGCCCAGACACAGGACAAGGAGUAGUGGCCAUAAACUAACACUCAAGACGUUUCACCUCAACGUGAGGAGGAACCUCUUUCCAUUGAGGGUGGCAGAGCACUGGAACAGGUGCCCAGGGAAGUCAUGGAGUGUCACUCUCUGAAGACCCUCAAAACCCAC